rnacentral:tRNA from 1 species
UUUUAGGGAGACCAUCUGAGUCUUGACCGAACCUAAACUAUAGGUCAAGAACCAGUUAUCCCUGGUCGUUCGAGAUAGUCAUGUCAAAGCUUUCAAACUAUUAACUGGUUCAGUUAACGGGCUAUUAGCUCAGUUGGUUAGAGCGCACCCCUGAUAAGGGUGAGGUCCCUGGUUCAAAUCCAGGAUGGCCCACCUGAACGUUAAAAAUCUGUAAUUAAACACUAAAAGUGUUUAACGAUCAAUUUUUAAUCACCCAGUGGGGGUAUAGCUCAGUUGGUAGAGCGCCUGCCUUGCACGCAGGAAGUCAGCGGUUCGAGUCCGCUUACCUCCACUCUCACUAACACCAGCGACCGCGAAAGUCAACAAAUUAAAUCGGACACAGAAAUCAGCACCUAGGUCAGCUUAAAAGCUCAUCAGAAUGCUGGAGUCUCGACUCUAGAAAGAACCUUGAAAACUGCAUAGAAAUUAAGUCAUCAUCAAGCAGGUAAGUCAUCCGAGCAAUCGGAAAAUCUUACGAGCGACCAUCAAAAACAA